rnacentral:lncRNA from 1 species
GUGAAAAUAAUCAUAGCAAAAUUACCCAGGAAUAUGAAGUGAACCCAGAUAGGCUUAUUUGCACAGGUUUACCCGGACGUUUAACUAGUAAUUUUAACCAUUGUAAAUCAAUGAGGUUUUGUAACAACCAAAGUUAAUAGUAAUUUAACCACAUGUAUGUUGGAAUGUUGGUGUGAGCUGUCAGCGGCGUCAAACGGAUCAAGCUAGUCUGAUGUUUAAUCAAGUGUUCCGGGUGUGAUCAAGUCAUUGAAGAGAUUCAGAUUUCAC